rnacentral:misc_RNA from 1 species
AGUCGUAACAAGGUAUCCGUAGGUGAACCUGCGGAUGGAUCAUUACCAAAGGCAUUUGUCCUUUAACGUCAUGUGAACUGUAUAGGGGUUUGUAGUGGGGGUGUCAAUGGGGUUGUGUGAGAUUGUCUAGAGAUGAUCUCACAUGCCGCACUGGCCUCCUACUACCUAUAUAUAUAUAUAUGAACGUAGUUUUUUUUGAACUGAAGUCUGCUUAGAGAUUAGUGGUAAACUCUAAAAACAACUUUUAGCAACGGAUCUCUUGGCUCUC